GGGCGGGACUAGGCUGAAGCAGCCAGUCGGAGCGCGAGAGCUGGAGCGCGCAAGGAGACCUAGCCAAUCGAAAAUGCGUCCUGCUCCACGUGCCGGGGCCGCUGUCUUAAAGUGACAGGCAGCAAUUUUUCGGGGCUGUACGGCUGUGGGAGCGAGCGGGGGACAAAUCUGAGCUCCAGCUUAUCUUUCUUUCACUUGCACAAAUAAGAAAUGGGGAGCAGCUAUUGGAUUCCAGUAGGCCAGACUGAGGACUUUGCUUCUAGUAACAGGCUGUCCUGCAAGGAAAGAAAAAGAGUACUGCAUCAAGGUUGCGAGGAAAAUGGCCAGUGGGUUCAGUGGUUGUUGGUGGGCAGGACAGAUACUUUGACAUGUGGCAGAUGA
rnacentral:lncRNA from 1 species